rnacentral:lncRNA from 10 species
UAUCAAAUUCUCUUUCCUGAUGGGACAGGCCAGAUACAGUAUCCACAGAAGCACAGGGAUGCUCGUAUUGACAUAUAUUGGCACCUAAAAUGUCUACGAUUUUUUAUGGGUUAUCCAUCAGGAAACCUGGCUAUGCUCAUCUUAUAUGCGAAAAUGAAAAAGUUCACAUACAUCAUUCUGGAAGACAGUCUAGAAGGGAGGAUCCGGGCCCUUAUCAACAACUCAGGCAAUGCUACCUUCUAUGAUGAAAAUAGUGAUAUCUGUCAGCACUGAGCAGCACGCUCGUGUGGUUCUCGGGGACGUUCCCACAUACGAUUCCUCGGUGUCCUGCAGACUGCAAGACUUCUCAGCCUGCUCCUCCCAGACAGACAUUUAGGUGCACAGCCCGGCUGGCCUGCUUAUUUAGAAACCAACAGCAGAAGGCUCAGCUGAAAAGCAAAAUUAAGAGCUAUGUUAGUUCUCCUAUGGAAUACCGUCCUCAAGAAAAGUCAAGGAGGGAGGGGAACCACAAGGGUUGAAAAACCUCAGCAUCAUGCAAUACAGCCAGGUAACAAACCUGCAUGUAUGUACCCCUUGAAUCUAAAAUAAAAGUUGAAAAAUAAAAUAAA